UAAUACGGAGGAUCCAAGCGUUAUCCGGAAUCAUUGGGUUUAAAGGGUCCGUAGGCGGUUUUGUAAGUCAGUGGUGAAAGCCCAUCGCUCAACGGUGGAACGGCCAUUGAUACUGCAAGACUUGAAUUAUUGGGAAGUAACUAGAAUAUGUAGUGUAGCGGUGAAAUGCUUAGAGAUUACAUGGAAUACCAAUUGCGAAGGCAGGUUACUACCAAUAUAUUGACGCUGAUGGACGAAAGCGUGGGGAGCGAACAGGAUUAGAUACCCUGGUAGUCCACGCCGUAAACGAUGGAUACUAGCUGUUCGGAGCAAUCUGAGUGGCUAAGCGAAAGUGAUAAGUAUCCCACCUGGGGAGUACGUUCGCAAGAAUG
rnacentral:rRNA from 1 species